GAUGCUCAUCAGCCCUGGGGUGGUGGCCGCUGCAGUCACUGCCCUGGAGGACGUGUUCCAGGCCCUGGGCUUUGAGAGCUGGGAGAGGAGGCAGGUCCCGGUCCAGCUGCCCCGGAGUCCGGAGCCUUCCUUGCUGGCCUGAGAGAGCUCUGUGGCCGCUCUCCUCACUGGUCCCUGGUGCAGCUGCUGACGGAGAAGUUGUAUCAGCCCCCCACCCCCAACUCGGGACCCCCGACAACUCACUCAGGAUCCCCUGACACUCCAGACUCCUCCCAACUCCAUGCCUUGGCCCAAGCAGUUCCCUCUGCCUGCCACGCCCUCCUGUUGUCCCAGGAGCCCUGCACAGUCCUCUACAGGCUGCCAGCGAUGCCCUUCCUUGCAUCCAUGCAUGCACUUCAGACUGCCCCUUUCCACACCAGGCAGUGAUUAUCCGCCCUGUUAGAUCACAGGACCCUGGAGACUGGGACUGGGAAUGAUUCAAGUCUGGUAUCCAGGGCUGAAGGUCUCACUAUGCAGUUGGGUGGCCCCUGGGCAGCCCUGGAGGUGAGGGGGCCCCAACUGUCCUCCACAGAUCGCCCAGCAGGGUAGUGCCCACCCCGUGAGCCUUCCCAACAGGCCCUGCCCUACUCUAGGGAACAUCCCCACCUCUAUGCACACUGAUCCUGGGGCAGGGGUUAAUGGUGUGGCCACUGUCCGUUCGAGACCAUCCACGCCCAGGUAAGUCCAUAACCUUGAGCCUGAACUGGAGCCUGGGUCUUGCUUGAGGCCAUCCUGCCUGUCUGUCCUUUGCCGGCCUCCUCCUCUCUGCAUUCUAGCAGGUGACCCUGAAGAGACUACAGAAGCCACAAGUCUAGCUGAGUCUUUUCUCGGUCCCAUCCUCAGCUCCUCCGCAAGGUGACUGAAGAGUCCACAGGGGGCACCUGCUGCCCUGUCCUUCGGAGCUCCUUGCGGGGGGCACUGUGCCUGGGAGGCGUGGAGCCCUGGAGGCCUGAGCUGGCCCCCGGUCCCAACACACAGUAUGACCUGUCCAAGACCAGGGAUGCCCUCCUCCUGGCUGUGAUCCAAGGCCGGCCUGGGGCCCAGCAUGACGUGGAGGCGCUGGGGGGCCUAUGCCGGGCCCUGGGCUUUGAGACCACCGUGAGAACGGACCCUACAGCCCAGGUGAGGGGAAACCGAGAACUGACGCUGGUGCUCUGAAGGAAGACCCCUCCCUAGGAACCUGGAGCCUCUCUCCUGGGCCUCUCUCCAUCACUGGCAGGAAGGGCACCACACGUCUAGCCUCUGUCCUCCCUGCGGCCUGCGUUGGGCCUGUCACUUCCCUGCCUCUAGAAGCCUGGUCUCCAGGGUCUCCAAGGCCUCCCUCAUUGGCUGGUUCUCUGCCCCCCCCACCCCCUCCCCAGCUUAAAGCUUUAGCUCCAAGUCUUGGUUUCCCUCUUGGCUCCCAGCAGCCCACUCCGCUCUCCUCACACCUCUCAACUUCUCGGUGCAGCUUCCCCACCAGGGCAGGAGCAGAACUGGCUCCAGGAAGCUGGGUCUCUCUGUCACCUCUAAAGAGGCCAUGCCAAGGCCUUGCAGGAGGGAGUUAGAAAAGGGCUGCUGGCCGGGCGCAGUGGCUCAUGCCUGGAAUCCCAGCACUUUGGGAGGCCGAGGCGGGUGGAUCACUUGAGAUUAGGAGUUUGAGACCAGCCUGACCACCAUGGUGAAACCUUGUCUCUAUUAUAAAGACAAAAUUAGUAGGGCGUGGUGCUGCACGCCUGUAAUCCCAGCUACUUGGGAGGCUGAUGCAGGAGAAUGGCUUGAACCCAGGAGGCAGAGGUUGCAGUGAGCUGAGAUUAUGCCACUACACUACAGCCUGGGUGACACAGCAAGACUCUGUCUCAAAAAACAAAAACAGGCCAGGCGCAGUGGCUCAGGCCUAUAAUCCCAGCACUUUGGGAGACCGAGGCAAGCAGAUCAUGACAUCAGGAGAUCGAGACCAUUCUGGCUAACACGGUGAAACCUCAUCUCUACUGAAAAUACAAAACAUUAGACAGGUGUGGUGGCAUGCGCCUGUAGUCCCAGCUACUCAGGAGGCUGAGGCAGGAGAAUCGAGUGAACCCAGGAGGCGGAUAUAGCAGUGAGCCGAGAUCGCGCCACUGCACUCCAGCCUGGGUGACAGAGCAAGACUCCAUC